UACGUAGGGACCAAGCGUUGUUCGGAUUUACUGGGCGUAAAGGGCGCGUAGGCGGCGUGGUAAGUCACUUGUGAAAUCUCUGAGCUUAACUCAGAACGGCCAAGCGAUACUGCUGUGCUAGAGUGCAGAAGGGGCAAUCGGAAUUCUUGGUGUAGCGGUGAAAUGCGUAGAUAUCAAGAGGAACACCUGAGGUGAAGACGGGUUGCUGGGCUGACACUGACGCUGAGGCGCGAAAGCCAGGGGAGCAAACGGG
rnacentral:rRNA from 1 species